rnacentral:rRNA from 1 species
AACGAACGCUGGCGGCGUGCCUAACACAUGCAAGUCGAACGAGACCUUCGGGUCUAGUGGCGCACGGGUGCGUAACGCGUGGGAACUUGCCCUUAGGUUCGGAAUAACUCCCCGAAAGGGGUGCUAAUACCGGAUAAUGUCUUCGGACCAAAGAUUUAUCGCCUUUGGAUGGGCCCGCGUUGGAUUAGCUAGUUGGUAGGGUAAAAGCCUACCAAGGCGACGAUCCAUAGCUGGUCGGAGAGGAUGAUCAGCCACACUGGGACUGAGACACGGCCCAGACUCCUACGGGAAGCAGCAGUGGGGAAUAUUGGACAAUGGGCGAAAGCCUGAUCCAGCAAUGCCGCGUGAGUGAUGAAGGCCUUAGGGUUGUAAAGCUCUUUUACCCGGGAUGAUAAUGACAGUACCGGGAGAAUAAGCUCCGGCUAACUCCGUG